rnacentral:lncRNA from 1 species
CGUGACCACACCGCUUAAGAAGGGGUAAGGGCUGACCUGGGUUCUUGCCAGCCCCAGGUCGCCGGGUCACGUGUGCCCGUUGUUAUCAUUGACUUGGGCCCCAUGGGCACCCUAGUUCCCAGUUACCACAACUCAGGCCGGCUGGCCGGGCCAUGGGCUGCCCAGGUCACUAACCCCAACCCAGGGAGGAAAUAUUUCCCUCCUAGGGAGCCUCUUUUGACUUUUUUAAGAAAAAAAAAUAUCCAUUUCUUUCCAACGAUGAGGUUUAGUAAAUAUUUUUAGCACAUCACUUAGAAGACUCACUUUCCAAGUGUUCGUUCUUGCCACAGAACGGUUCUGGCAAGAAGCCCGUUUUUAAAGACCUGAGGAAGCCAGGCCCCUUUGAAUGGGGAACACUUCAAACACAGCCCGGCUUUCUAGCUGGACUGUCCAAGCUCCAGGAGCGCAACACCCGCAGAGACAGCAGGAAGCCUGGCUGGCCGGCCCAGCAUGGCAUGCAGAGCCCGAAGGGGGAAGGCAGUCAAAGGCAGCCGCCCCCCCCCCCCCGUGCCAGGCCUUGGCCAUGGUGGGGCAGUAUCCCAGUCCCAAAGAGGCCAGGAAGGGCUGAAAGGCAGGGCCCUUAGGUGCUUCCUGCCCAAGAAUCAGGCCCCCAAAUCAGCAAUAAGGAACAAACCCUUCCUUUAGCCUGGGCUGGUGACCCAGGCUCCCAACACCUGGCCUCCCGCCUUGUCCUUCGGCGGCAUCAGGGUGCCUCACUCCGAAGUCCUGACAUCUUUAUUUGCCUAAUUUAUAUAUAUAUAUGAUAUACAAAUAUAUAUGACAUAGCUAUUUUGCUUAAAUUUCUAUGAUACGUGAAAGUGAAAAAUGAUGAAGACAGACUGCCUGUCUGAGUUUGGCCUCCUGCCAGCCCCGCCCUCUCCUUGUAGCCCUCCCAGUGGCUUCUGCCAACCUUAGAAAUGAAACCUGCCCCUCAGACCCUCUGCCUCCAACCCAUCUCACUUCAGUUUGAUCUGGAAAGUUCAUUGCAGGGCCUUUCUUUCUACUCCAGGCCUGGUUUUGUUUUUUGUUUUGUUUUUUAUUAAAAAAGAAAAAGAAAACACCACGUAUGAAAUGCCUUACAAUGCCCACUCUAGAGAGGGGGUGGGAAGGGCGGGGGAGGGAAGGUCACUCGGUCUCCCUCAGAGCUGGAAUGUACCCCUUCCCAGCAGGCUGAGCAAGCAAGCACCUUCUGAUCAUAAUAAAAACCUUGGUUCUGGAGUUUUCCAC